GAUGAAGAACGCAGCGAAAUGCGAUAAGUAAUGUGAAUUGCAGAAUCCAGUGAAUCAUCGAAUCUUUGAACGCACAUUGCGCCCGCCAGUAUUCUGGCGGGCAUGCCUGUCCGAGCGUCAUUUCAACCAUCAAGCCCCAGGCUUGUGUUGGGGACCUGCGUCCGACGCAGGCCCUGAAAACCAGUGGCGGGCUCGCUGUCCACACCGAGCGUAGUAACUAACCUCGCUACGGGAGCGGCGCGGGCGCCUGCCGUAAAAACCCCAAUUUUCACAAGGUUGACCUCGGAUCAGGUAGGAAUACCCGCUGAACUUAAGCAUAUCAAUAAGCGGAGGA
rnacentral:misc_RNA from 1 species